UACGGAGGGUGCAAGCGUUAUCCGGAUUCACUGGGUUUAAAGGGUGCGUAGGCGGGCAGGUAAGUCCGUGGUGAAAUCUCUGAGCUUAACUCAGAAACUGCCAUGGAUACUAUUUGUCUUGAAUAUUGUGGAGGUAAGCGGAAUAUGUCAUGUAGCGGUGAAAUGCUUAGAUAUGACAUAGAACACCAAUUGCGAAGGCAGCUUACUACACAGUAAUUGACGCUGAGGCACGAAAGCGUGGGGAUCAAACAGG
rnacentral:rRNA from 2 species